rnacentral:rRNA from 1 species
GACGGAGGAGGCUAGCGUUGUUCGGAAUUACUGGGCGUAAAGCGCGCGCGGGCGGUUUGGCAAGUCAGGGGUGACAGCCCGGGGCUCAACCUCGGAACGGCCUUUGAGACUGCCAGACUGGAGACCGGAAGAGGAGAGUGGAAUUCCCAGUGUAGAGGUGAAAUUCGUAGAUAUUGGGAAGAACACCAGUGGCGAAGGCGGCUCUCUGGUCCGGUACUGACGCUGAGGCGCGAAAGCGUGGGGAGCAAACAGG